rnacentral:RNase_P_RNA from 1 species
AGCAGGACAGGCGGUCGCGUGGCGAACCCGAAAGGGCCGCCAUGAGGAAAGUCCGGGCUCCACAGGGCAAGGAUAACGGGUAACGCCCGCCGAAGGCGACUUCAGGAAAAGUGCAACAGAGAUAUACCGCCUCAUCCCUCGUAAGAGGGCGGCUUUUUGCCGUGAGGUAAGGGUGGAAAGGCGAGGUAAGAGCUCACCCAUCGGCUGGAGACUGUCCGAUGCUGUAAACUCUAUCCGGAGCAACACCGUGGGAGGACAUAUGGCUGGCCCGGCCGUCCUCAGGAGGUGGCUGGAGUGGUCUGGCAACAGGCCGCCUAGAUAGAUGACUGCCAAAUACAGAACCCGGCUUACAGUCCUGCUCG